GACCUGGCUCAGGAUGAACGCUAGCUACAGGCUUAACACAUGCAAGUCGAGGGGCAGCAUGGUCUUAGCUUGCUAAGGCCGAUGGCGACCGGCGCACGGGUGAGUAACGCGUAUCCAACCUGCCUUACACUCUUGGACAGCCUUCUGAAAGGGAGAUUAAUACAAGAUGUUAUCAUGAGUAAGCAUUUUCGCAUGAUUAAAGGUUUACCGGUGUAAGAUGUGGAUGCGUU
rnacentral:rRNA from 1 species